CCCUUAGAUGUUCUGGGCCGCACACGCGCUACACUGAAGGAGGCAGCGUGUACUCCUGGAUCGAAAGAUUUGGGUGACCCGCGAAUCUCCUUCGUGCUAGGGAUUGAGGUUUGCAAUUAUCCUUCAUGAACGAGGAAUUCCCAGUAAGUGCAAGUCAUAAGCUUGCGCUGACUACGUCCCUGCCCUUUGUACACACCGCCCGUCGCUACUACCGAUUGAAUGAUUUAGUGAGGACUUCGGACUGGGACCGAUGCGGCUUUCGGGCUGCGUCGGUAUUCUGGAAAGAUGUCCAAACUGUAUCAUUUAGAGGAAGUAAAAGUCGUAACA
rnacentral:rRNA from 1 species